UACGUAGGGGGCGAGCGUUGUCCGGAGUUACUGGGCGUAAAGCGCGCGCAGGCGGCGCAUCGCGCCCGGCGUGAAAGACCCCGGCUCAACUGGGGGGUGUCGUGCGAUACGGGCGGACUGGAGGCCAGUAGGGGGAUGCGGAAUUCCGGGUGUAGUGGUGGAAUGCGUAGAGAUCCGGAGGAACACCAGCGGCGAAGGCGGCAUCCUGGACUGGUCCUGACACUCAUGAGCGAAAGCGUGGGGAGCGAUCCGG
rnacentral:rRNA from 1 species